rnacentral:tRNA from 1 species
GCCCCUGUAGCUUAAUGGUUAAGCACUCGGCUGCUAACCUAAAGGUCGGCAGUUGGAAUCCAACCAGUGGCU